rnacentral:lncRNA from 1 species
GCUACUAUUAGGAUUUUGGUGAUAUCUUAAGAUCUGCAAUGAAUUUGUAGUUGAAAUUUUUUGUGAUAGUUGUUAGAAGUACAUUAGUACUUUUUAUAAAAUUUGAGUAUGUUUGAAUGAUUUGAUUGGAAGAUAUGAGUUUUUGAAAUUCAAGAAUAAUAUCCCAUAAGGAUAUAUAAGGAUUUAGAGUUUUUUUUUUAUCAUAUUUUGGAUAUUUUUGGAAA